rnacentral:rRNA from 1 species
AGGACUAACGCUGGCGGCGUGCCUAACACAUGCAAGUCGAACGAGGGGUAGCAAUACCCCUAGUGGCAGACGGGUGAGUAACACGUAGUCAACCUACCUCUUAAUGGGGGAUAACUAGCCGAAAGGUUAGCUAAUACCGCAUACGAUCGUCGAGUGGCAUCACACGACGAUGAAAGGAGCAAUCCGUUGAGAGAGGGGACUGCGUCCCAUUAGUUAGUUGGUGGGGUAAUGGCCUACCAAGACUCCGAUGGGUAGCUGGCUUGAGAGAGCGACCAGCCACACUGGAACUGAGACACGGUCCAGACUCCUACGGGAGGCAGCAGUGAGGAAUUUUCCGCAAUGGGGGAAACCCUGACGGAGCGACGCCGCGUGUGGGAAGAAGGCCUUCGGGUCGUAAACCACUGUCGAGGGGACGAUAUUGACGGUACCCCGUGGAGGAAGCCCGGCUAACUACGCGCCAGCAGCCGC